rnacentral:snoRNA from 1 species
UUUGUUACAUAAGAGUGACCUUCCAGUUUGGUCAUUUGUCAGGAUGAAGCAUAUAUGUGAAUUGGCAAGUAUUAAACAGCAUUGUGCAUUCUUCUGUCGUGCAGUGUUACCUGUCUCCUGGCACAUGU